rnacentral:rRNA from 1 species
UACCGCCUAGCCGCACCAUGCCGCGUGAGUUAUGAAGGCCUUCGGGUUGUAAAGCUCUUUCGCCAGUGAAGAUAGGGACAUUGUCCAUACCAGAAACCCCGGCUAUUUCCGUGCGACCACCCCCGGGAUUACUCCGGGGGUUAACGUUGUUCGGAAUUAAUGGGGGUAAAGUGCAUCUAAAUUACUGGGCGUAUUACGCGUGAAAUCGCGGGGCUCAACCCCAUGUCUGCCUUUAGGACUCUCCCUCGAAAGUUCGAGAGAGGUGGGUGGAAUUCCGAGUGUAAAAGUGAAAUUCAAAUAUAUGUGGAGGAACAAAAUGGGCAAAUGCGGCUCACUGCAUCGAUGCUGAAGCUGACGUGCUAAAUUGUGAGGAGCACACAGGAUUAAAUACCCUGGUAGUCCACAGGAUAAAAUAUCAUGGCAAUCCGUCCCGUAGACUACGACUCCUUGACAUUCCUAACCUAUUUAUCUUUCCGCCUCGCCAGUACGGACGCAAGAAUCACACUCAAAGGACGUGACGGAGGGU